UCUAUCAUGUGAAAAUGAAUGUGUAAUAGCUGCUGCUAAUGUCUCUUUUAGUUAAUUAGUCUCUGUGCUGAACCAAGCAUUCACCAAGAUUGACUUCUGGUGAUACAUUAAUCAAGAGAUGAAUUAAAAUUUUGAAGAAAAAAUGUAAUGGUGUAAAAACUUGAAAAUGGGACACUGGAAUGUUCUAGGUCAUGGAUAUUAAGCAGAAAGCCUUAUGUAAGAAGACACCAGGAUAGAAACAAAACUCUGGACAAUUUAAUGUGAA